GAUGAAGAACGCAGCGAAAUGCGAUAAUUAAUGUGAAUUGCAGAUUUCAGUGAAUCAUCGAGUUUUUGAACGCACAUUGUGCCCCUUGGUAUUCCUAGGGGCAUGCCUAUUCGAGCGUCGUUUGGUCUCUCAAGCCUGGCUUGGUGUUGGGGCACGCCCUCUUACGAGCGGCGGCCCUCGAAAUCAUCGGCGGUGCCGGUGCGGCCUGGAAGCGCAGCAAAAUGCGAAGCCUACCCACUGAUACCUGCCGGAUCAAACGUCUUCGGACACUUUUUUACAAAAAGACCUCGAAUUAGGUAGGGAUACCCGCUGAACUUAAGCAUAUCAAUAAGCGGAGGA
rnacentral:misc_RNA from 1 species